UACGGGGGGGGCAAGCGUUGUUCGGAAUUACUGGGCGUAAAGGGCUCGUAGGCGGCCAACUAAGUCAGACGUGAAAUCCCUCGGCUUAACCGGGGAACUGCGUCUGAUACUGGAUGGCUUGAGUUUGGGAGAGGGAUGCGGAAUUCCAGGUGUAGCGGUGAAAUGCGUAGAGAUCGGCAGGAACACCCAGGGGGAAACCAGUGGACUGGGCAGGAGCUGACGCUCAGGUGCGAAAGCGUGGGGAGCGAACAGG
rnacentral:rRNA from 1 species